UAGGGAAUCUUCGGCAAUGGACGGAAGUCUGACCGAGCAACGCCGCGUGAGUGAAGAAGGUUUUCGGAUCGUAAAGCUCUGUUGUUAGAGAAGAACGUUGGUAGGAGUGGAAAAUCUACCAAGUGACGGUAACUAACCAGAAAGGGACGGCUAACUACGUGCCAGCAGCCGCGGUAAUACGUAGGUCCCGAGCGUUGUCCGGAUUUAUUGGGCGUAAAGCGAGCGCAGGCGGUUCUUUAAGUCUGAAGUUAAAGGCAGUGGCUUAACCAUUGUACGCUUUGGAAACUGGAGGACGUGAGUGCAGAAGGGGAGAGUGGAAUUCCGUGUGUAGGGGUGAAAGGCGUAGGUAUAUGGAGGAACACCGGUGGCGGAAGCGGCUCUCUGGUCUGUAACAGACGCAGAGGCUAGAAAGGGUGGGGAGCAAACAGG
rnacentral:rRNA from 1 species